CUCCCUUGAAAGCCUCCUUCCCCGUCCCUCAGCACACAUUCCCAGAAGAGCCCUCCGUCCGCCCUGCCCCUGCCAUGAGCCUCGGCCUCCUGUGCUGUGUGGCCCUGGGUCUCCUGCAGGCAGGGCCCGUGAAUGCUGGCAUCACUCAGACCCCCAGAUUCCAGAUCCUGGGGACAGGACAGAACAUGACGCUGAGAUGUGAACAGGACAAGGACCACGACUACAUGUCCUGGUAUCGACAAGACCCUGGACAUGGGCUGCGGCUGAUCCAUUACUCUGUCAGUGCUGGUAUCACCGAGAGAGGAGAAAUCUCCAACGGAUACAACGUCUCUAGGUCAAAUACAAAGAACUUCCCUCUCAUGCUGGCGUCUGCAACUCCCUCCCAGACAUCUGUGUACUUCUGUGCCAGCAGUGAUGGCACAGCACUGCACAGCUGUCUCCUCUCUGCACAAAAAAAGGCAGGGGGAGGGCCUGCACCCCGGGACUCAGCAGAGCCCUCGGCACACUCCCAGCACCGCCCCCAACCCGAGCCCCAGAGCCCCGAGGGGCCCAAGCGCCCAGAGUGAACCUUGGUGUGGGCUGAGGUCCGUCUGCAAGGCACUGACAGCCUGGCCUGGACCCGACCAGACCUCAGGCGGCCGUGUCUCCACCUCUGGUCUGUCUGUGCUCUGAGCCGCCUGGCUGGCUGCGAAGGUGCUUCCCCAGCUCUGACUAUUCUACCCCCUGCCUAAGUCUGACGCUUCCGGGAUGGAAAUUGUUUGCACUGGGUAAACAACACAAUGUGUUAUUAACAAUGUGUUAUGAAAUCAGAUCUAACUAGAUGCCCCCCUCCUUGUCUCCCCCUGGCACCUCAGUGCAUUGCUCUCCGAUGCCCAGGUAUGAACCCUGCUCCCCCCCAGCCUUUCCAUAGGGGCAGCCCCAACAAGGCCCUGCUGGGUCUGUCCUCUAGCUGCCUCCGGGCCCAGCUCGCACAGCUCGCUGGCCCUCGGCUCUGGCCACACUGCUAGGCCCUCAAUUCUGCCAUGUCCCUUCCCAUCUCAGGGACAUCCAGGGCUAGUUCCUCUGCACUGGGCAUGAGUCCUUCCUUCUUGCAAUGGCUGACGCCCACUCAUGUUCCUGUUCAAGGUCACCCUGGGUGGCCUGCCCUUUCUGGGCACACCUGUUUCCAGGGGAAUGGCGGACACAGCUGGUGUAUCUCUGUUCUAGAUUUUCCAGACUUUUCUCUCAAUCGGUUUUAAAGUACUGGUAUCAUAAGGACAAACUUCUCUGACAACCAUACAUCGAAGGCUGAGCUGCUUCAGACUCUGUGUCUCCCUCUCUCUCUGCCCCUCCCCUGCUCACACUCUCUCUCUCUCUCAAAAAUAAAUAUUAAAAAAAAAAAAUUAAAAAUAAAUAAAUAAAUUUCAAAAAC